CAGGCCAUCAGACUGCUGAACAGCUUCUCCCCCCAGUGCAUCAAACUGCUGAACAGCUUCUCCCCCCUGACACUCCAACACACACAUACGUUGACGCUACUCUGUUUAUAAUGUCACUUUACCCUUACCUACAUGUACAUAUUACCUCCACUACCAACACAUAAUAAUAUAUGCACAAACUCUUCCGAACUGUUUAAGCUGGGAAGCAUGUGGACAUUGAUAAUAAUGUCAUGUAGACUAGCCUAGCCCCACUGUAGCCUAUCUGAGAGCUAUUGGCUAGAGCGCUGGUGGCAAGACCAUAAGGUACUGCUUCAUGUGAUGUAUUGUUGUCACUACCUUCUUUCCCUUUGUGCUGUUGUCUGAGCCCAAUAAUGUUUGUACCAUGUUUUGUGCUGCUACCGUGUUGUCAUGUUAUGUUGCUACCAUGUGUUGUCAUGUUGUCAUGCUGUGUUGCCGUCCUUGGUCAUGCUGUGUUGCCGUCCUUGGUCAUGCUGUGUUGCCGUCCUUGGUCAUGCUGUGUUGCCGUCCUAGGUCAUGCUGUGUUGCCGUCCUUGGUCAUGCUGUGUUGCCGUCCUUGGUCAUGCUGUGUUGCCGUCCUUGGUCAUGCUGUGUUGCCGUCCUUGGUCAUGCUGUGUUGCCGUCCUUGGUCAUGCUGUGUUGCCGUCCUUGGUCAUGCUGUGUUGCCGUCCUUGGUCAUGCUGUGUUGCCGUCCUUGGUCAUGCUGUGUUGCCGUCCUUGGUCAUGCUGUGUUGCCGUCCUUGGUCAUGCUGUGUUGCCGUCCUUGGUCAUGCUGUGUUGCCGUCCUUGGUCAUGCUGUGUUGCCGUCCUUGGUCAUGCUGUGUUGCCGUCCUUGGUCAUGCUGUGUUGCCGUCCUUGGUCAUGCUGUGUUGCCGUCCUUGGUCAUGCUGUGUUGUCGUCUUAGGUAGCUUGUCAUGAUGUUGGUGGCUCACAAUUGGCCCAGCGUAGUCCGGGUUAGGUCUCAUUGUAAAAUAAGAAUUUGUUCUUAACAACUGACUUACCUAGUUAAAUAAAGGUUAAAUAAAUCAAUAGCAUAAUUUAAACGAAAAAGUAUACUGUGCGCACUACGUCAUCACGCACUGAAGUCCGUUUGAAAAAGCCCAUAUUUCAUUUAUGUUGAUUCUAGAAUAUUCGCAUUAAAAUCUGUCGCCAAUUGGAUGGAAGCCCGACUGAUAGCCUUCCAUAACUGGCUCGCUUUGCAGCGCACAACAUGCAACCCUAACCUGCACCAAAUAACCUUUAUACGGAGUAGGACAGUACGUCAAUGUGUCAACAAAGGCGACAGCAAUUGAGGGAAGGUGCACACUUGCAAUAGCUAGCAACACAAAAUAAACUUGACAGUGAGUCCAACUGACAAACUACAGUAUCCUCCUCAAUUCUAGAGCUAAACCCCCGCUAACAUAUACCGCCUGAUGUGACAGAAACUGAAAACACCAAAGAACCGUAACUAACAAGCUCUCUGCCAUAGAUAUCUACUAACCUUGAUACUUCUAAUGUUCGCCAUGUCUGCGAG